GGCCUCGUGGUGUCGCGGUUAUCACGCAUGCUUCACACGCAGGAGGUCGCCGGUUCGAUCCCGGCCGAGAUCC
rfam:Toxocara canis scaffold260, whole genome shotgun sequence.